rnacentral:lncRNA from 1 species
GGUUUUUGUCUUCUCUCAAUUAUCUCUCCAAGCGCCAGUGUGAAGUGUUCAUGUACAUUUGCCAGUCUGGCAGUUUUAUGUUUCCAGAAUCUGUUGUGAGAGGUUCAGCAGCUGCAGAAACCCGAGAUUCCUCUGGCAUCACAUUGGUUUGUUUCUGUCAGCAUGCUUAAUCAUUUUCAUACCAAAGAAUUGUGGAGUGAUCUGAUCUUAGCGAUGAUUUGGACUCCUUUGGUUUUUGUUGCCUUUUUCUUUAGAGAGGAGGAAAGAAAAGGAGUGAAGGAAGGAUGUUCUGGUUAGUAAAGGAAAAAAUGCAGUGUCCGUUUCAAGUGUAGUAGCUGUUAAGUAUGUAGGCAUAUGUAUGAUUCAUUAUGCAGUUAUAAAAACGAAAGGCAUACCAUCUUGCCUCUUCGCCUCAGAACACAAUUUCUCUUACAGCAACAAGUAGCACAGGCUCCUCUCCCCCUCUCCUCUCCCCCUCCCGCCUUCAGCCCAUCCUGACAAAAUGCCAGUUACAAAGGUCAGACUGUUUAUGUAAAGAUCACUGUGUUUCUUAACAAAGACUGCUGCACAUCAGGCCUGCAAUGACUAUCAAAUAGACUUUUGGAUUCAAGAGACUCAAUAAGAGUACUGUCCAUUUUCUAGAACUGAUAAAAUCCCAGAGAAAACAAAAGACAAAGAGACGUAGUGUGUGAAUGGGAUGGAUCAACAGUGCCAGGGUGCACAUGGGCAGCAGCAUCUUCAUGACAGUGCUCAUUACUGCCAAUGCUAGCAAGAUCCAGUGGACGCUUAUAUGCGUGUGUGUUUCUGUGUGAAUAUAUAAAAAAAGAUUUGCUGAUUUGCUAAUGGUUUUCUGCUCUUCUCUUUAGGUUUCUUGCUAGCCCUAAUGAUGUCCUAGGUUGAAAUUGUUCUGCAGCUACUUCACACCAAAGGUAGCUUAAAUCAGCCAAGGAGAAUUUUGAGUAUGACCAACCCCACCCUCCCAAUAAAAGAGAAGAGAUUGACUUCACUAGACUUCAGCUCAGACCCUUCACAAUCAGUUCUUGCCUUGCAACAGCUUGGGUUGGGUCAUGGUGCACAACAGAUAAAGACAUCAGAAGCAACACUGACAAAACAUGUUAACAUAGGAUAAUCUCAAUGUCCCCGUUAGUCGUGUACUUUAGAUGGCUAGGUAAAAAAACCCUCAACAGCAAAAUAACCCUCAGGUAAUUCUCUCCUUGAGCACUGUUUGGACUGUCUAGAGGCAAGAGAAGGUCUUCUCAACCAGCUCCUGGAAUUUUUUG